rnacentral:sRNA from 1 species
GAGGCUUCGGGAGCAGGAUGAGAGGCUGUGGCAGCAGGAGACUCUGUGGGAGCUGGAGAGGCUGCGGGAGCUGGAGAGGAUGCUGGAGCUGGGAUGGGAAGCCCUCUACGAGCAGCAGGCCGAGCCAUGCAGUGGCUUUGAGGAGUUGAACAACGAGAACAAGAGCACACUGCAGUUAGAGCAGCAAGUAAAGGAGCUGAAGAAGCCAGGUGAGCUGAAAGAGACGGUAACCUCCGACCCAUCCAAGAAGAUCUGGGAGGCAGGCACCAGCCUCUGGGGAGGGGAGGUGCCAGGCCAGAGGCAGCUGCAGCCUGGGGGCAGAUGACCACAGCACCCUCCAGGGCAGUCCCAUGACUGUUUCUUGCUUCCUGCCCUCUGACUUUUAGAGGUGGGUAGCCCUGGGCUCCUCCCAGGUCUGGACAUCAUCAUCCCAGCUAGAGGCAUGGAGCCCC